CUUCUCCCAUUCUAUCCUAGUUAAUGUCACCCAACUAAAUGUUGGGAGUUUUUUAGAUUCCUACAAUUCCCUUCCUGUUCUCUCCACAGUUGGUCAUUAACUCCUCUCUCCUAAUUUCUUGCCACCCCCUCAC